CAGCCGCCGCGGGAAUACGGAGGGUGCAAGCGUUAAUCGGAAUUACUGGGCGUAAAGCGCACGCAGGCGGUCUGACAAGUCAGAUGUGAAAUCCCCGGGCUUAACCUGGGAACUGCAUUUGAAACUGUCAGGCUGGAGUCUUGUAGAGGGGGGUGGAAUUCCAGGUGUAGCGGUGAAAUGCGUAGAGAUCUGGAGGAAUACCGGUGGCGAAGGCGGCCCCCUGGACAAAGACUGACGCUCAGGUGCGAAAGCGUGGGGAGCAAACAGGAUUAGAUACCCCAGUAGUUCCUGUCUCUUAUAA
rnacentral:rRNA from 1 species